GGAUGUUUCUCAGAACUCCUGUCUCCUCUCUUCCCCAUCAUUUUCCCUGUUUUGAGAGGGAAUUAGGUGCAUCUCUGCAGUCAAGGCUGAAUGGAAGGAGACUCUGUUUAAGGGAAAGAGCUGUGUGCUCUCCUACUAAGAAAUACUCUGUGAUGGGAGAAUUGUCUCAACUGCUACUACAAGCAUUUAUGGGAGGUGAAUGAAAUUGUGGAUUAUCAUAUGUAGGCUAAAGUGAGAAACAUCUGCUCCCGGCAGCACAAAUCUGCUUAAGAAAAGAUGAUCAGUAUUGAAGAAACUUCAUAUGGAAUUUAUUUUCUUUAUGGCAAAAGCUAGCUAUGUGGGCAAAGAAAUUACCCUUGUUUCAAUUGCUGACAGAUACUGUCCAAACUGGACCAGCAGCGUGCAAAAAAGGAACUGCCAAACUUUGCCAA